AAGUCGUAACAAGGUUUCCGUAGGUGAACCUGCGGAAGGAUCAUUAACACGUAUCCACACGUUAAAACAACCCUUUGAAUAUUAACGCGUGUUCUUGCUUGACACCAAAACAGCAAUCUCUCGUAAAACAGGCGCUAAAGAAUUACAGAUAUUGAUCUGAGAGAAUUCUGUCAGUCGGUGGACGUUGCAAUUGAGCACUAGAUAAGCACCCUGGUACCUAAGUGUCAAGUGAUGGUCAGGGUGACGCAGUCAACGAUCUCUGUACGUCCUCACGACCGGCGACCGGGGUGGAGGCUAACGCCCUUACGUCACCCCUAUGUACCCUCCGGGACUUGGCGAAAACUGACUCCGUCAUAAAUCGAACAACAUCUUGGUUUUC
rnacentral:misc_RNA from 1 species